rnacentral:rRNA from 1 species
GUCGAGCGAUUCUCUUCGGAGAAGAGCGGCGGACGGGUGAGUAACGCGUGGGUAACCUGCCCUGUACACACGGAUAACAUACCGAAAGGUAUGCUAAUACGAGAUAAUAUACUUUUCUCGCAUGGUAGAAAUAUCAAAGCUUUUGCGGUACAGGAUGGACCCGCGUCUGAUUAGCUAGUUGGUAAGGUAACGGCUUACCAAGGCGACGAUCAGUAGCCGACCUGAGAGGGUGAUCGGCCACAUUGGAACUGAGACACGGUCCAAACUCCUACGGGAGGCAGCAGUGGGGAAUAUUGCACAAUGGGCGAAAGCCUGAUGCAGCAACGCCGCGUGAGCGAUGAAGGCCUUCGGGUCGUAAAGCUCUGUCCUCAAGGAAGAUAAUGACGGUACUUGAGGAGGAAGCCCCGGCUAACUACGUGCCAGCAGCCGCGGUAAUACGUAGGGGGCUAGCGUUAUCCGGAAUUACUGGGCGUAAAGGGUGCGUAGGUGGUUUCUUAAGUCAGAGGUGAAAGGCUACGGCUCAACCGUAGUAAGCCUUUGAAACUGGGAAACUUGAGUGCAGGAGAGGAGAGUGGAAUUCCUAGUGUAGCGGUGAAAUGCGUAGAUAUUAGGAGGAACACCAG